GUCGGGAAUUUUGCGCAAUGGGCGAAAGCCUGACGCAGCAACGCCGCGUGAGGGAUGAAGGCCUUCGGGUUGUAAACCUCUUUUCUCAGGGACGAUGAUGACGGUACCUGAGGAAUAAGCCACGGCUAACUACGUGCCAGCAGCCGCGGUAAUACGUAGGUGGCAAGCGUUGUCCGGAUUUACUGGGCGUAAAGAGCGCGCAGGCGGUCGUGCAAGUCGAGUGUGAAAGCCCCCGGCUCAACUGGGGAGGGUCACUCGAUACUGCUCGACUUGAAGGCGGAAGAGGGAAGCAGAACUCCCGGUGUAGUGGUGAAAUGCGUAGAUAUCGGGAAGAAUACCAGUGGCGAAGGCGGCUUCCUGGUCCGUUCUUGACGCUGAGGCGCGAAAGCUAGGGGAGCGAACGGGAUUAGAAACCCCAGUAGUCC
rnacentral:rRNA from 1 species